rnacentral:rRNA from 1 species
UACGUAGGGUGCGAGCGUUAAUCGGAAUUACUGGGCGUAAAGCGUGCGCAGGGGGUUGUGUAAGCCAGAUGUGAAAUCCCCGGGCUUAACCUGGGAAUGGCAUUUGGGACUGCACGGCUAGAGUGUGGCAGAGGGGGGUGGAAUUCCGCGUGUAGCAGUGAAAUGCGUAGAGAUGCGGAGGAACACCGAUGGCGAAGGCAGCCCCCUGGGUUAACACUGACACUCAUGCACGAAAGCGUGGGGAGCAAACAGG